rnacentral:tRNA from 1 species
UGGGUUAUAGCUCAGUGGUAAAGCGUUUGCUUAGCAUGCAUAAGGUCCUGGGUUCAAUCCCAGGACCUCCA